GUCCAGACUCCUACGGGAGGCAGCAGUGGGGAAUAUUGCACAAUGGGGGAAACCCUGAUGCAGCGACGCCGCGUGAGUGAAGAAGUAUUUCGGUAUGUAAAGCUCUAUCAGCAGGGAAGAAAAUGACGGUACCUGACUAAGAAGCCCCGGCUAACUACGUGCCAGCAGCCGCGGUAAUACGUAGGGGGCAAGCGUUAUCCGGAUUUACUGGGUGUAAAGGGGGCGUAGACGGCAUGGCAAGUCAGAUGUGAAAGCCCGGGGCUCAACCCCGGGACUGCAUUUGAAACUGUCAGGCUGGAGUGCAGGAGAGGUAAGUGGAAUUCCUAGUGUAGCGGUGAAAUGCGUAGAUAUUAGGAGGAACACCAGUGGCGAAGGCGGCUUACUGGACUGUAACUGACGUUGAGGCUCGAAAGCGUGGGGAGCAAACAGGAUUAGAUACCCCGGUAA
rnacentral:rRNA from 1 species